GCGUAAAGUCCAAAGAGCAAGCCAAGCAGAAGCUAAAGCACCGCUGCCAGGACUAACUCCCCAGAAAAAAGUAACCUAGGAAGAAACCCAGAGAUUAAUCCGGCUCAGAGGGGUGGCUCUAUUACAGUACAGCAGUAGUACAGUAGUAGUACAGCAGUAGUACAGCAGUAGUGCAGCAGUAGUAAUCCUCAGCAAAGGAUCGUCCUGCUCUCCCUCUGGGGUCAGUCACUGUCUCAGACCACCUGAGACUGAUCUACCCAGUAUACUCUAGGGUUAGCUCAGGUUAUCACACUCUCUACAUCAAUUUACAUCCUCUCCAAUGAAGGUGCUUGAGCUGCAGUGAUGGACGGCCAAGCCUCUCCACGCUGUAGGAGAUUACUAAGAGGAAGACUUCAGACUCACUGAGGAGAACACAAAGAGAAGGAGGGAUACAGACAGAGAAGAAAGAAAGAAACUCUGCAAGGACAAUGACCCAACACACCUCCAGGCUGUGUAAGGGCUAUUUGACCAAGA